rnacentral:lncRNA from 1 species
AUUGGCCUACAGGUAGGCUACGGUUUUCCCUUUCUUAGAUUGAGCUCGAGAAUGUGAAUGCAUGUUGAUUAGUUGGGAUUUGGGUUGGGUAGUUAUUGAAUCAUGCAUAGGUGAUUAGAAAUCAUGUUUUCGGCCUAUUUCGGGAAUUAUCGGGUAACUAUGAGCAUGCUUUGUGUUAUUAAUGGACCCUCCUCGCUAUGUGGAGUGCUUGCAUGCUUAAUUAUUGUUUAUUUGAAGCAUGUUGGGCCUUAGUUUAGGUUUGACUAGGGCUUGUCUUAGAAAUAAAUGAUUCGGAUCCGAUAGGCCUUAGUUUUACCCCGACUUGAGUCUGAUAGUUUGGGCCUUAGCUAGGCGAUACGCUUGCUCCGACUUUAGUUAUCCUUAUUUUUCCCGAUGUUACGGCUUCACGAGUUACGUCGGCGACACUAAUUCUACUUCGUGAUUUGAAUUUGAUUUUCGAUUUGGUUCUAAGGACUUACAUUGAUUGGAUAAGUAUGAACGGCGUUCCACGGACAUUUAUGAGUGUGGAUCGAUUAGGACUCUUUCAGCAGCUACAUUGGCACCUUUAUAGAGCAUCCGGUUUAAGUUCCGGCCUCUAUUGCCCAGAUACUUAUAUAGAGCAUCCGGUUAGGGUUCCGGCCUCUAUUUCCCAGAUACCUAUAAAGAGCAUCCGGUUAGAGUUUCGGCCUCAUAUACUUGAUACUUGUGAUUGGUUACUUAGGUACUUCUGGUGAGCAUCCGGUUCGAGGUCCGGCCUCUGUACUGUCAGAUUUUACUAAUUGGGAUUGAGGUUCUGAUUUGAUGUUUUCCGUUCUUGGGUUCUUAUAUGCAAUUAUCUUUAGUUAUAGUUAUUCUAUGUACUCGUCGGGCUUAUGGGGGUCCGUUCGGGUUUUUAUUUAACUUGCGCACGAGUGUACCUUCUGGGCUUAUGGGGGCCCAGUUAGGUGUAGUUAGCUUAUAGAUUACUUUAGUUAGUUCUUUCUACACUCGUGUGCAUUCCAUUGUUAGUUAGAUUUUAGUUCUUGACUUCGGUUUGUGUUAUUCCUUCUUUUCAUAUUGCCUUUACUUUUCAAGUUCAGUCGGCCUACGAUGCCUACUGGGUACCGGUUGUUUUGGUACUCAUGCUACGCUCUGCAUCUAUUUCGUGAUGCAGGUCCGGGCACUAGUAGACAGCGUUGAUCGAGCUUGGAGCAGACUGAUCCGGAGACGGGAGUGAGCACACGACGUUUUGUACUAUUUCAGUCUCCAUCUGUAUAUAUAGACUUGUCUUUUACCUUCCGAGACAGUCCAGUCUCUGUUGUCCACUUUUGGGACUUGUACUCAUUUUGUUAGUAGCUCUGUACUAGUGACUUCCAGAUUCUGGGAGGGAUCUUUAUUUGUAUAUAUGUUUUUGGUUUGCUUCCGCCUGUUUA